UACGGAGGGUGCGAGCGUUGUCCGGAAUCACUGGGCGUAAAGGGCGCGUAGGUGGCUCGUGAAGCGUGCGGUGAAAGCCCGGGGCUCAACCCCGGGUCGGCCGUGCGAACUGUCGAGCUGGAGCACUGUAGAGGCAGGUGGAAUUCCGGGUGUAGCGGUGGAAUGCGUAGAGAUCCGGAAGAACACCGGUGGCGAAGGCGGCCUGGUGGGCAGUGGCUGACGCUGAGGCGCGACAGCGUGGGGAGCAAACAGG
rnacentral:rRNA from 1 species